rnacentral:lncRNA from 1 species
AAUUGAUUACAAGGUUCAUGAUUCCUAAUGCUAGAACUGGAACUUUGCUUCCAUCUCCAACGUUUAGGAAUCUCUCGCCUUCAUCAAAUCUCCUACUGACCUGUAGACCCUGCAUCGAAUUGCAAAUAUGAUAAGGGCUUCUAGUAUCCAAUACCCAGGCAGUAGUAUCACAAAUGAAAAAGUUACAAGGUGUUAUCAUAUAAGUACCUUGCUUCUUCUUCGGCCUGUUCGGGUCCAGUGAGGCAAUGUAUAGAGGA